rnacentral:misc_RNA from 1 species
AGGUGCCUCAAAAGUUUUCUAUUUUAGUCUUUUCACAUUUAGUCUUUUAGUCUUUGCCGUUACUGUAUUUUUUUUUUUUCUGGGUUUUCUUUGUAGGCUGUGGUUCUUCACAUCUCAGUAUUUUAUUUGGUGAUGUAGUCAAGAUUUUUACUUCUAAUUGAAUUGUUGUCAUUUCUGGGCUAAUUGUGAAUAUUAAUCUAUUCUUGAACUUUAGAUGUUGAACUUUAGAUCUUCAACCUAUAAUUACUUGGCUUUCGUUUGCCAAUGUGUAGAAAAUUUUCUUUUCCAGUAAUUUAUAGUAUAAUUAAUGCAUUUAACAAGAUAAUGUCUAACACAAGUUGAAUUUGGUAUUUUGUUCUUGUUUUGGGGAAUACUUAGCUCAAAAUAUUGGUUGGAGAUUUCCCAUUGCACUUUACUUGCUAAAAAGCAGCAGAAAUAUUCCCAAAUGUGAUAUAGUAAAAAAUUGCAUUCAUCUGAAUCUCCAACAUGUGUGGAUCUUUACAAUCUGAAUGGCACAUAUACUUACAUUUCAUACUCUG